rnacentral:tRNA from 1 species
GUAGGUAUAGUUUUAACUAAAAUAUUAGAUUGUGGUUCUAAAAAUAGGGGUUAAAAUCCCCUUACCCACC